AAUCAAGGAGAAAACUUCCA
rnacentral:snRNA from 1 species